rnacentral:rRNA from 1 species
GCGCGAAAACUUUUCAAUGCGCGAAAGCGUGAGAAGGGAAUUCCGAGUGCUCAACAUAGUUGGGCUUUUGCUAAGUGUAAAUAGCUUGGCGAAUAAGGGGUGGGUAAGACUGGUGCCAGCCGCCGCGGUAACCCCAGCGCCCCGAGUGGGAAUCGCGAUUAUUGGGUCUAAAGCGUUCGUAGCAGGCUUUGUAAAUCUUUUGUGAAAUCGGCAGGCUUAACCUGUCGGCGUGCAGGAGACACUGCAGGGCUCGAGACCGGGAGAGGUUAGAAGUAUUCCUUGGGUACCGGUAAAAUGGGUUAAUCCAAGGAGGACUACCAAUGGCGAAGGCAUCUAACCAGAACGGAUCUGACUGUGAGGAACGAAAGCUAGGGGAGCAAAACGGAUUAGAUACCCGAGUAGUCCUAGCCGUAAACGCUGUGAGCAAGGUAUUGCACAUCCCACGAGGAUGUGCAGUGUCGAAAUGAAGAUGAUAAGCUCACCACCAGGGAAGUACGGUCGCAAGGCUAGAAACUUUAAGGAAUUGGCGGGGG